UACGGGGGGAGCAAGCGUUGUUCGGAUUUACUGGGCGUAAAGGGCGCGUAGGCGGCGCACCAAGUCACUUGUGAAAUCUCCGGGCUUAACUCGGAGCGGCCAAGUGAUACUGUCGUGCUAGAGUGCGGAAGGGGCUACUGGAAUUCUCGGUGUAGCGGUGAAAUGCGUAGAUAUCGAGAGGAACACCUGCGGCGAAGGCGGGUAGCUGGGCCGACACUGACGCUGAGGCGCGAAAGCUAGGGGAGCGAACGGG
rnacentral:rRNA from 1 species